UACAGAGGUCUCAAGCGUUGUUCGGAUUCAUUGGGCGUAAAGGGUGCGUAGGCGGCGCGGUCAGUCGGGGGUGAAAUCUCGGGGCUUAACUCCGAAACUGCAUUCGAUACUGCCGUGCUUGAGGACUGGAGAGGAGACUGGAAUUUACGGUGUAGCGGUGAAAUGCGUAGAUAUCGUAAGGAAGACCAGUGGCGAAGGCGGGUCUCUGGACAGUUCCUGACGCUGAGACACGAAAGCGUGGGUAGCAAACAGG
rnacentral:rRNA from 1 species